rnacentral:lncRNA from 1 species
AAAUUUUGAGGAUACUUCAUGCUGUUUCUUUAAAGUGAUUAAACCAUCCAAGAUGCAUUUUUAUUUUCUCUGAAACUUGAGCACUGAAGGGUCUGAUUGAUGAGAAUUAAAGCCCAUGCCCUAUGAACCUCUAGAGAGAAAGGUCUUUGUUAUUUUCAGAAGAGGAAAUGACCGACUAAGGUCCAACAGAGAUUUCGUGGUCAUCCUCAGAAAGAGUCUUGGCAUCUGAUUCUUUGAUAUCCUUGUUGACCAAUUGGAUGAGGAGACUGUCCACAGGCCCUGGAAAUUAUGGUGUGGCCGCAGCAUUCUGAGUCUCUGGUUUGUAAUCUGUACUGUGGAGUGGACUGUGAGUGAUGACGGGGCAUCAUGUGGCUAGAAUCUACCUCAGCUGUUCAGUCUCACAGUGGUUAAACAGAAGUCACUCACCAGAUUGUGCCCUGAAAUCACAUGAAGUUGCGGGUGGAGAUUCACCUGAUAGCUGUAGAAACCCAUCUCAGCCCCAGGACCAUGAAGAAUCAGACUCUGGAAAUAUCCUCAUCAUUUUGUCCAUCACCUUCCAUCCCAGGCUGCACACUCCCAUGUAUGUUUUUCUCUUCAACUUGGCUACUAUGGACAUCAUCAGCACCUCCUCCAUCAUGCCCAAAGCAGUGGAAGGUCUGAUAUCAGGAAAGCUCCCUCUCCCAUGGGGGCUACAUGGUCCAGCUUUAUUUCCUCACAUGGACUGA